rnacentral:tRNA from 1 species
GGGGCUGUAGCUCAGUGGUAGAGUGCUCCCCUGGCAUGAGUGAGGCACUGGGUUUGAUCCUCAGCACCACA